rnacentral:rRNA from 1 species
GACGAACGCUGGCGGCGUGCCUAAUACACGCAAGUAGAACGCUGAAGAGAGGAGCUUACUCUUCUUGGAUGAGUUGCGAACGGGUGAGUAACGCGUAGGUAACCUGCCUUGUAGCGGGGGAUAACUAUUGGAAACGAUAGCUAAUACCGCAUAACAAUGGAUGACACAUGUCAUUUAUUUGAAAGGGGCAAUUGCUCCACUACAAGAUGGACCUGCGUUGUAUUAGCUAGUAGGUGAGGUAAUGGCUCACCUAGGCGACGAUACAUAGCCGACCUGAGAGGGUGAUCGGCCACACUGGGACUGAGACACGGCCCAGACUCCUACGGGAGGCAGCAGUAGGGAAUCUUCGGCAAUGGGGGCAACCCUGACCGAGCAACGCCGCGUGAGUGAAGAAGGUUUUCGGAUCGUAAAGCUCUGUUGUAAGUCAAGAACGGGUGUGAGAGUGGAAAGUUCACACUGUGACGGUAGCUUACCAGAAAGGGACGGCUAACUACGUG